AGGAAUAUUGGACAAUGGAGGCAACUCUGGUCCAGCCAUGCCGCGUGAAGGAAUAAGGCCCUAUGGGUUGUAAACUUCUUUUAGACGGGACAAAACCCCUUUACGUGUAAAGGGUUGAUGGUACUGUCAGAAUAAGCAUCGGCUAACUUCGUGCCAGCAGCCGCGGUAAUACGAAGGAUGCAAGCGUUAUCCGGAAUUAUUGGGUUUAAAGGGUGCGUAGGCGGACUAAUAAGUCAGUGGUGAAAGCCUGCAGCUUAACUGCAGAAUUGCCAUUGAUACUGUUAGUCUUGAGUACAGUUGAGGUAGGCGGAAUGUGUCAUGUAGCGGUGAAAUGCUUAGAUAUGACACAGAACACCGAUUGCGAAGGCAGCUUGCUAGGCUGUAACUGACGCUGAGGCACGAAAGCGUGGGGAGCAAACA
rnacentral:rRNA from 1 species